AUUGAACGCUGGCGGCAUGCCUUACACAUGCAAGCCGAACGGUAACGCGGGGCAACCUGGCGACGAGUGGCGAACGGGUGAGUAACGCAUCGGAACGUGCCCAAUAGUGGGGGAUAGCCCGGCGAAAGCCGGAUUAAUACCGCAUACGACCUAAGGGUGAAAGCGGGGGAUCGCAAGACCUCGCGCUAUUGGAGCGGCCGAUGUCAGAUUAGGUAGUUGGUGGGGUAAAGGCCUACCAAGCCGACGAUCUGUAGCUGGUCUGAGAGGACGACCAGCCAGACUGGGACUGGGACACGGCCCAGAAUCCUAGGGGAGGCAGCAGUGGGGAAUUUUGGACAAUGGGCGCAAGCCUGAUCCAGCCAUGCCGCGUGCGGGAAGAAGGCCUUCGGGUUGUAAACUGCUUUUGUACGGAACGAAACGGUCUGGGUUAAUACCCUGGGCUAAUGACGGUACCGUAAGAAUAAGCACCGGCUAACUACGUGCCAGCCGCCGCAGUAA
rnacentral:rRNA from 1 species